rnacentral:misc_RNA from 1 species
GAUGAAGAACGUAGCGAAAUGCGAUACUUGGUGUGAAUUGCAGAAUCCCGUGAACCAUCGAGUCUUUGAACGCAAGUUGCGCCCGAAGCCACUAGGCCGAGGGCACGCCUGCCUGGGCGUCACACGCCGUUGCCCCCCCAUCUACUCCUUCGGGAUUGCGGGGGGGCGGAUGAUGGCCUCCCGUGCGCCUAGCCGCGUGGUUGGCAUAAAUACCAAGUCCUCGGCGACGCACGCCACGACAAUCGGUGGUUGCGAAACCUCGGUUGCCCGUCGUGUGCGUUCGUCGCGCAUCGAGGGCUCGAAAAAAUGCUCGGCUCCGGCUGGGCUUUCAACGCGACCCCAGGUCAGGCGGGGUUACCCGCUGAAUUUAAGCAUAUCAAUAAGCGGAGGA